rnacentral:rRNA from 1 species
GAUGAACGCUAGCGGGAGGCUUAACACAUGCAAGGUCAGGGGCAGCAUAGGGUAGCAAUACUCUGAUGGCGACCGGCAAACGGGUGAGUAACGCGUAUGCAACCUACCCUGUACAGGGGGAUAACCCGGAGAAAUUCGGACUAAUAUCCCGUAAUAAUAUCCGGAGGCAUCUUUGGAUAUUUAAAGUUCCGACGGUACGGGAUGGGCAUGCGUAACAUUAACUGGUUGGUAAGGUAACGGCUUACCAAGGCUAUGAUGUUUAGGGGUCCUGAGAGGGUGGUCCCCCACACUGGUACUGAGACACGGACCAGACUCCUACGGGAGGCAGCAGUGAGGAAUAUUGGUCAAUGGGCGCAAGCCUGAACCAGCCAUCCCGCGUGCAGGAAGACGGCCCUAUGGGUUGUAAACUGCUUUUCCAGGGAGAGAAACUUACGCACGUGUUGCGUGACUGACGGUACCCUGGGAAUAAGCAUCGGCUAACUCCGUG